rnacentral:rRNA from 1 species
ACAGGAAGAAGCUUGCUUCUUUGCUGACGAGUGGCGGACGGGUGAGUAAUGUCUGGGAAACUGCCUGAUGGAGGGGGAUAACUACUGGAAACGGUAGCUAAUACCGCAUAACGUCGCAAGACCAAAGAGGGGGACCUUCGGGCCUCUUGCCAUCGGAUGUGCCCAGAUGGGAUUAGCUAGUAGGUGGGGUAACGGCUCACCUAGGCGACGAUCCCUAGCUGGUCUGAGAGGAUGACCAGCCACACUGGAACUGAGACACGGUCCAGACUCCUACGGGAGGCAGCAGUGGGGAAUAUUGCACAAUGGGCGCAAGCCUGAUGCAGCCAUGCCGCGUGUAUGAAGAAGGCCUUCGGGUUGUAAAGUACUUUCAGCGGGGAGGAAGGGAGUAAAGUUAAUACCUUUGCUCAUUGACGUUACCCGCAGAAGAAGCACCGGCUAACUCCGUGCCAGCAGCCGCGGUAAUACGGAGGGUGCAAGCGUUAAUCGGAAUUACUGGGCGUAAAGCGCACGCAGGCGGUUUGUUAAGUCAGAUGUGAAAUCCCCGGGCUCAACCUGGGAACUGCAUCUGAUACUGGCAAGCUUGAGUCUCGUAGAGGGGGGU